AGGGACUGCCAUUGUCGGAGACAUAACGGAUGAGAUUCGUCGGUUGUAAGGGCGGCCGGGGAGCGGGCCGUGCCGCCGACCAUGCUGUGCUUUGUGCCUUGCCGACCGGCCGGGUGAGACGCGGGCGACCUCGCCAGAGACGGCCCGCCGUGGUGGCCAGCGUCGUCUGAGGCCCCGACGCCGGGCUGGCCGGACGUCGGCUCAGCGCUCUGCUACGGGGCCCGUCGGCCAGAACGGGCGCAGUUUCUGCUCCUGGGUCAGCCAGGCCAGAGCCGGGUCGAGGGGAGGGGGUAGUCGCUCUGGUGGUCCAUCGAGAUCACCAGCUUGAUUGUACGUAGCUAGCGAAGGAUUAUCAUGCUUCUCAUCCGCAUGUAUUGUCUAGGUGUGCUCUGCCGUUGCUCUGUCGUUUGACGUUGGCGCGUAUGACUGACGCCAGUCCACCUCCAAGAUGGUGCGCUUUGAUUGCGUUUUACGGCCCGAUUUGAGUUCACCACGAGCGGUAAAUUUCCAGAUGCAAAGCCGUGUUGACAAAUUGUGCAUAACGGUGGGUAUUUCUGCGGAGAAAGUUGUGGAGUCCAGCCGUGUAAGGUUUGGCCAUUUACCAUUGUGGGCAAGGUUUUUAAAACUAAAAAGAACGCAACAAGGCGACACACCCCAGAAUAUGGCCUGUUUGAAAUGUUAAUGCGUAGGUGUUCUUGCUAUACAUUUGAACCGAGUGUGUUUAUGAAACCGUAUAAGGUUUGGAAGACCACUUGAUAAUGUCGCCUGUCCUGUGGCGCUUAGGUGCGCGUCUAUAUGCGUACGGACAUUCCCAUCACGGUUGUGUUUGAUGCUGCAGAAUAAACUUGACAAAUGCU